ACAACCUUCCUCUCUCACAAAGAUAGUAGGUCACUAUUGCAUAGUGGCUUCCCCAGCAAUUUCCCACCGAGUUCAUUUGCCUUGGACUGGAAGAUGGGGGGCUGCUCAGGUCAUGAGAGUUUCACAGGGAUCAGCCCUGCUCCCAGCUGCAGGUGACAGAAAAGUCAGCUCAAAGUGGCUACCAAAACAAGAAACCCCACUGACAUUCGGACUGGAAAUCAGAAGUGGGAGGCUUGGAUCCAGCAGUCCAUCAGGGACCCAGGCUCUUCAUGCCUCUCCUCUCUGCCCUGUGUUCUUCAUCCUAGACCUGGAUCCCCUAUGUUCUUGCGAAGGCCAUCAGGAGCCACCUGGUCAUCUGCCUCCUCUAAGAACAGAUUCACUUUGCUGUACACCUGAAACUAAUACAACACUGCAAGCCAACUAUGCUCCAAAAAAAAGAAAAAAAGGCUUUGACAGAACCUUCAGCCACCUUCUUCUUAAGUCUGACUGAUCCAAAAUGGGCCCACUAGUCCUAAACUGAUCACAGGCC
rnacentral:lncRNA from 1 species